CCUACGGGAGGCAGCAGUGAGGAAUAUUGCGCAAUGGGGGCAACCCUGACGCAGCAACGCCGCGUGAGUGAGGAAGGUUUUCGGACCGUAAAGCUCUGUCGAGUGGGAAGAAACGUAUCGUGGCUAAUAUCCAUGAUACUUGACGGUACCGCUAAAGGAAGCACCGGCUAACUCCGUGCCAGCAGCCGCGGUAAUACGGGGGGUGCGAGCGUUGUUCGGAAUUAUUGGGCGUAAAGAGCGUGUAGGCGGCUGAAUAAGUCAGAUGUGAAAUCCCUGGGCUUAACCCAGGAAGUGCAUUUGAAACUAUUCAGCUUGAGUAGGGGAGAGGAAAGUGGAAUUCCUGGUGUAGAGGUGAAAUUCGUAGAUAUCAGGAGGAACACCGGUGGCGAAGGCGACUUUCUGGCCCUAUACUGACGCUGAGACGCGAGAGCGUGGGUAGCGAACAGGAUUAGAUACCCUGGUAGUCCACGCUGUAAACGAUGUUCACUAGGUGUUGGGGGUAUUGACCCUCUCAGUGCCGCAGCUAACGCAUUAAGUGAACCGCCUGGGGAGUACGGUCGCAAGAUUAAAACUCAAAUGAAUUGAC
rnacentral:rRNA from 1 species